rnacentral:rRNA from 1 species
UACGUAGGGUCCAAGCGUUAUCCGGAAUUACUGGGCGUAAAGAGUUGCGUAGGUGGCAAGUUAAGCGAAUAGUGAAAUGAUACGGCUCAACCGUAUGUCUAUUAUUUGAACUGGCUAGCUAGAGAAUAUGAGAGGUAGAUGGAAUUCCCUGUGUAGGAGUGAAAUCCGUAGAUAUAGGGAGGAACACCGAUGGCGUAGGCAGUCUACUGGCAUAUUUCUGACACUAAGGCACGAAAGCGUGGGGAGCAAACGGG